UGGAUGUCCAGUCUCACUACUGGGUGUUCGGUCAACCAGGUUGUUUUCAGCUCUGUCUGUUGAUAACCUGUCUGUCUGGGGGGCCAGUCAGAGUCUCUUUGGGCUUCAGGAGCACAGACAGACAUGGUGCUCUUCUCAGGAGCAGGUCUCAGGGCUCCAUCUCUGUCCCUGACCUGUAGCUGUCACUGGCUGAUGGCUACGUAGUAUUUAAUAGUGAUAAUUAUACCUUCAGGUCGGAUAAAAGGUACAAUGAUGGAAGCUGGCACUAUUUGUCUGCAGUAUGCAGGCCAACAGGGUUAGAGCUCAGCAUCAAUAAUGUAAAAGUCAUUGAGGGACAAUCACCCCAUAGCAGGACAGAGGAUUAACAUUUGCAAGGAGGGAAAUUGAAAGGCUGCAUCACUAACCUCUACACAAGGAGGCCUGAGCAGCGCUUUAUACCUGCUGAUCUAAGCUCAUUUUCAACGGUAGAGCUG